UGAUAUUCAGCCAUGGGAACUGAAAAU
rnacentral:piRNA from 1 species